UAAAAAAUAGCAUUGGAAUAGCAGAAAUAACUUCACAUACAUGAUGUCUUAAUAAUACUGGGAAUAUACGAUCUGAAACAUUACACUCAUAUUUGGGUAGUGAAAAUGCUAAUUAUUUGGGUAAAUUACAGAACUUGUAGCCUUUGGGCAACAAAAAUAUUGAAGGGUUUAUUUAUUAAUAUUAGUGCACUCCAAGAUGCUACAGUCAAUCUUCUUCCUGGAAAACUUCACAAAUAUCGAAGGCCUUGAGCUUGAAGCUUUAUCAAGAGUGCAAUGCAAAAGGCCUUUGUCAAUCUUGUUCCUGCAAAAAGAAAUACGAUUUAGGAAGUUCGAAAUCAUGUGAAAAUCGACCACGUGAACUAUGUAAUAGUAUUAUGUUGUGCACUUAAUUUUUUGGCUUAAUAUCAUACCUCUUGCAUCUACAAGGGAUUUCAGUUCUCCAGUCCUGGUAUUAUCAACGGAACUAAUAGAAGUGCUUAGGCAAACUUGCCCUGAAUCUAGCACUCCAGUUGGCCAACUCCUCCUGCUUGUUGUGCCUCAGGUCGUAACUAAAAUAGCCCCUCCCCUGCCAAAAGGAAGGUUUUUAUGACGAUCUUCUGUGAUGAACACAUGUUAUGGGUUCAUCCACUUCUUUCUACACACAAAUCUGAUCACGAACACAGCGGAGAGCACUGAAAAGAACAACGUUGCCUGUCCGAUGGUGUUCACUUAUUUACUAUAUGCCAUGAUGCCUUACCUUGUAAGAAAAAUAAUGAGAUACAGACUGCACUUACUGAACUCUUCCAAUGAUUUGCCGACAUCACUGCCCACAGACUGAACCAAGUGUAUCUUGCCUGAAAAUAUUACAUUUCCCAUACAUCAAGAUCUUAAAAAUGGAAACGAACAAAACCAAAAAUUCUGCAAAUAAUGAGAAUGUCAUGAAUUCAGAGAUGAAAGAACAAUAUCUGAGAAUUAGGGGAGUCUAAAUUAAGCUGCAUGAAAGCAACAAUAGAGUCCUUGACUCGACAGGCAGCUCCCAGUUGUAGGUAGGUCUGUUUUCUAACUAAGCUGCAUUCUGCCUGCAGUGAAGCUAAAUCUGCAAGCGCAAUAGCAAACUUUUCUUUUGGUUGUGUAGCUAGAAUAGGUCCAUUGUACUGUACUAUUGUUUUGCCUGAUUGUUUUGUCUCCAAUGGUGAAAUCUUUAUUGAUGGGAAUAUAACACUGUUCAUGCAAAUUUGAUGGAUAUUUUUGUUACCCAUUGGUGCACCGUAUGGAGAAAAUAGAAGAGGGAUAUCGGUUACUACUAUUUAGAUUUAUGUGCAACUGAACACUAAAUAACUUAUUUUUGCUACCCGUUCGUGCUUGCUAUGGAAAAAAUAGAGGCAUUUCUCCCCCAUUUUAUUAGUUGGUGGUUCCAUCAAUGAUAAUCGAUAAAAGUUCAAUUCUGUAAAUUAGAAAGGCCCGCACAUGAACAUCCCUCAAGAUAAAGGCUGCAUUUACAUGGAAGGCGAAAAAACAUGAGAAAAUUGUUAAGUAUUAGCUUGUCAAGAACUGAUAGAUUUCAGUUUUAGGCAUGGAUCUGAGGUAUCUUGAAUUGGAGUUCCUUGCACCUUGAUUCAAAUUCUGUUCACAAUAUUAAUCUAGAAAGAAACUCACCUUAUACUUGGAAUGAUGCAAAGCCUGCACCGUGUCUUGAAAAUCCACAUACAUACUUUCAAAUAUCGGUAAGAUUAUUGGGCUUUGCUCACUUCUGCAUAGAAGAAGAAGAUACUGAGGCUUCACCCCCCUCUAUAACAGUAUGGCUACAUUCUUUUGCGCAUAUGACUACACUGUUCCACUUAAUCUGUUGAGUACAACAACAAAUAGAAGAACCAUGGUGUGGAUAACAGAUAUAUGAGUAAUAUUCUAUGCUGUAAAAACGUGGAUGGUAAAACAUGAAUAGAUAAAAUGAAAUCUGGUAGUCCAAGUGAAUUAAUUACCUGUCCAGAAGCCAUUAGAACUAUCACCUGAAGAAUUUCAGAAAAAAAAUGCGAGAACCAGUUUCCAAUAUCUAGCCGAAUUAAUCGACCAUCUCCCAGUUUGAACAAUACCUGUACAAAAUUGAAACAAGUAUAGAUAACCCCCAGAAGUAUCCCGUUUGGAUCACAUAACCCCCCAAUGUUUAAAACUGAGUUCUUAAUCCCCUGAACUUUUCUAAACCGGACAUAUCACCCCCUGGCACCCACUUAAGUGGUUCGGGAAGGUGGUUUUGCAUAUGUGGCGCCUGGGCUGGGCCCAUCGACCGGCCACGUCGGACUGGGCCUGCUGGGAGUGAUAGAUGAUUACAUUGCCCCAUGCUACAAGAUAUCUGAGUACAACAAGAUAUAUGAUCAUGUCCCGCAACCAGUGGAGGGAAAAGAGCCAAAACCUCAUCCACCUCCUCAUAGGGUAAUGCCAGGAAGAAAGAAGACAAAAAGAAGAAGAGAAGAAGGUGAGAAACCUCAGGGGAACAAGCUUUCAAAGAAAGGCAUUAAAAUUGCUUGUUCUAUGUGUGGGAGCUUUACUCAUAACAAGAGAACCUGUGAGCAGAAUCCAAACAAAGGUAAGAAACAAAAUGCUAGCUACACAAGAGCAGCAAAAAGAGCAAGGAGAAAGCAGCAAAAAGAUAUAGAAAAAACACACAGCAGGUAACUGUUAUCUCUGAAUUUUAAUGUGAUAUAUGUUCACUCUGAAAAUUAGUACUGAUCAUUUUGUUUCAGGUGGCACACCCAGGGAAGAGGACAAAGAAGCAACCAACAUCUACUUCAGCAAGACCAUCUUCUCAAGCAGCAUCUAAUCCAACAAGAAAGAAACAAUCAGCCGCAAGUCAAACUGCAAUGCCUACUGCAUCUUCUCAACCAGUUCCAAGGGGAAGCCACAGUAGGAGUCACAACAAGGCUUCUUCAAGCUCACAGCAGAUGCAAGUGCCAAGAAAUAGCAGGCUGGAAUGGCUUCUCACUGGGAAAAAGUGAAUGCCCAGAUUGUUUUUCAAUGUCACGUAGUUGAUGUGUAACACCAGAUAGAAGUGUGUGCUUUUAUUUGAUGUGAAACAUCAAAUUCCUUGACAAUUAAGUGUCGUUUGUGGAGUUUUGCAUGUCAAAGACCUGUAGCUUUUAUCAGGUUGAACCUGAGUAUGCCAUGGAACUUAUUGUGUGAAUUUAAGAUCUUCAAUGCUAUGGAAAUUUGCUAUCUAUUUCUGAAUUUGAUGGCAAUAAUUUGUACACUUCUGAUAAAAUAUCUUGCAACACACUAUUCCAUACAGAACAGUACAGUGAUAAAAUAUUUGCUAUCAAAAGUUUCCUUCUUUUACAUAGCAUUACAUACAGAACAGUAUAAUGAUCAACAAUUUGCUCUGAAAUUAUAUUGCUGUAGUACACUGCUGAAAAAUUACAAAGCUCACACUGAGUCCAUUGGGAGGCGAAGAGGCUGGGUCUGGGUCGAACCUGCUCGAGAGCGUCGUUUAGACCACACCCAGCAGGCCCAAUCCAACGUGGCCGAUCGACGGGCCCAGCCCAGGCGCCACAUAUGCAAAACCACCUUCCCAAACCACUUAAGUGGGUGCCAGGGGGGGCGAGGUUCUUGCUACCAGCACCCGCAACUGUUCCAGCUAGUCCGAGCAGCAAACAAGAUUUGAAGAGAACCAAGAUGAGCUCAGAUAUAGGGGAGGACAUUUUGGAAAAUAUUGACAGUCUUGGCAGGACCGUCUCUUCUUUGGCGGGCUCCUUUGAGGAGCGCCGCCGGGCCCAAUGAAUAUUUUCUGCUGGAACUGUCCUGGUGCGGGAAAAGCUGCGACAGUUCGGGAGCUUCGCGAUUUUGCGAGGCAAUUUUCCCCUAUCCUCUUUUGUAUUGUUGAAACACAGCUGGAAAGCGGGAGGGUAGAAGCACUAGCUGGUACUUUGGGUUUUGAUAAAUCUUAUGCUGUUAGUAGUCGAGGUAGAAGUGGAGGCAUUGGCUUGUUUUGGAAUGAUUCAAUAAAUGUUGAGAUCCUUGGCUACUCUGACUAUCAUUUAGAUGUUUCUAUUGAGGAACAAGGAAGAGAGAAUUGGAGGAUGACGUGUGUGUAUGGUGAGGCACAAACACAUUUGAGGCACCAAACAUGGACAACUUUGAAAAACGUUAGCACUUUGAGCACACUCCCUUGGCUAUGUGUGGGUGAUUUUAACGAAGUGUUACGUCCAGACGAGCACCAUGGUUUGGGUCAAAGGAGCAACGCUCAAAUCCAAGCUUUUCGUGAUGUUUUAGAUGUUUGCAUGUUUCUCGACUUGGGCUACAAAGGUAAUUUUUGGACCUUCGAGAAGAAGGUAACAGGCGGCACUUUCACAAGGUGCAGACUUGACCGGGCGCUAGUCAGUGCAGAGUGGUUGACGAGGUUUCCACUAGCAUCAGUUACACAUUUGACGGGGGUUACAUCGGACCAUUCACCAUUGUUGCUCGAACUGGAAGCUGGGACGACCAAUCAUGUUAAUCGCCCCUUCAGAUAUGAGACAAUGUGGAAGACACAUGAUAGUUUCCGGGAUGUGAUAAACCAGGGUUGGGGCGCAGGUCCUCCAUGCUCAACUGUGGAGGAGCCGCGACUGAAAUUGCAAGACCUGGCAAGGGAUUUAGGAAGAUGGAGUCGGGAUACAUUUGGAAGCGUGAGGAAAGAGAUAAAAAAUCUAAAGAAAUCUCUCGAUGAACUAAAGAGUGAUCCUCUAAGGACAGGCCCAACUUACACCGAGUUGAAGAUCAAUGAAAGGCUAAUUGAGAUGUAUCACAGAGAAGAAAUCAUGUGGCGCCAGAGAGCUAGGGUCGAAUGGCUUUCUGCAGGCGACAAAAAUACAAAGUUUUUUCAUCUCAGGGCCAGCUUGAGGAGGAAAAAGAAUAUGAUCAAGGCACUACAGAACUCUUUGGGUGUUGAGAUAUCUGAUCCGGGAGAGCUAAAGGCGAUGGCACAUGAUUUUUAUCAAUCCUUGUACCGGUCCGAGGGAGUUCAAAACUUGGAUGCAGUGCUAAACCAUGUGCCGCGUAAGGUAACAGCAGCAAUGAAUACUAGUCUGUGUGCGCCAUACACCAAAGAGGAAGUUAAAAUUGCUCUGUUUCAAAUGUUUUCAACCAAAGCUCCGAGGCCCGAUGGUUUUCCUGCACACUUCUAUCAGAGACAUUGGGAAGUUUGUGGGGACGAAGUAACAAGAAUAGUUCUGAGAAUUGUGAACGGCGAGGAGAGCCCAGAAUCCAUCAAUGAUACAGUGCUUGUUUUAAUCCCCAAGGUAACUACUCCAAAAGUACUUGCUCAAUUCCGUCCCAUAAGUCUAUGCAACGUUCUAUAUAAAAUAGCUUCAAAGGUGAUAGCUAACAGAUUGAAAGUGAUCUUACCUGACAUAAUCUCUGAGGAACAAUCAGCUUUUGUCCCUGGAAGGCUUAUCACAGACAAUAUCAUUUGCGCUUAUGAGUGCUUGCAUUUUAUGAAGAGGUCGAGAUCAAAAUCCAACAGCUUUUGUGCUUUGAAGCUGGACAUGAUGAAGGCAUAUGAUAGAUUGGAAUGGAACUACCUGAGAGGUAUCAUGACAAAGUUGGGUUUUGACCAGCACUGGAUAGAUAUUGUUAUGGGUAUGGUAUCCUCGGUAUCUUUUUCUGUAUGUUUCAAUGGUGAAAAACUUGAUUCUUUCAAGCCUACACAAGGUAUUCGGCAGGGAGACCCAAUCUCCCCCUACUUGUUCUUGAUUGCAGCAGAGGGCCUCUCGUGCCUCCUUAAAUCAAGUUCUCAGUCGUCACUAACAGGAAUUCAGGUGGCUCCUUCGGCUCCUACUGUUAACCAUCUCCUGUUUGCAGAUGACAGCCUGUUGCUAUUCAAGGCCAGUGGGGAGGGAUCAAUUCAGGUGUCAAACCUACUUGAUAUUUACUGUCAGGCGUCAGGACAAAGAAUCAACAAUGAGAAAUCUUCAAUUUUCUUCAGUAAGGGCUGCCCUGCACAGUUGAAAGAAACUAUAAAGACCAACUUGCAAGUGUUGAAUGAGUCUUUGAGUGAACGCUACCUGGGUAUGCCGACGGAUGUUGGACACUCGAAGAACGGUACGUUUAAAUACCUUCGGGACAGAGUCUGGGAAAAGAUCAAAGGAUGGAUGGAGAAGUUACUGUCUGCUGCUGGUAAGGAAGUUUUAAUUAAAUCUGUAGCACAAGCGAUCCCCGUGUAUUCGAUGUCGUGCUUCAGAUUACCAAGGGGUCUCUGUGAUAGUAUCACGUCGAUUAUCCGACAAUUUUGGUGGGGUUCCAAGCAAGGGAAGAGGAAGCCUAGCUGGGUAGCAUGGGAUAUAUUAACCAUGCCGAAGCAUUUGGGAGGUUUGGGUUUCCGCGACUUGGAAAUCUUCAACCUAGCAUUGUUAGCAAGGCAGGCUUGGCGCACACUCACAGAUGAUACAUCUCUCAGCGCUCGAAUCCUCAAGGCAGUGUAUUUCCCGAAAUGUUCUUUACUUCAAGCCGAACUGGGAGCACACCUGUCUCAAAUAUGGAGGGCUAUAUUGGAUGGGCGCGAUAUCCUUGCACAAGGUGUGGUGCGCAGAAUAGGGGAUGGUGCAAUGACGGAUAUAUGGCAACACAACUGGAUUCCUCGAGACAGUUUCAAGCGCCCUAUAACAUCUCUGACGCCAAAUCCUCCGGUGAGAGUGGCACAACUCAUCGACAGCACUUCUGCUUGCUGGAACGAGGGCUUGGUCCGAACUGUGUUCACUCAUUUUGACGCCGAGGCGAUUUUCACAAUCCCGCUAUGCACGCGUCGAGUCGAGGAUUUAUGGGCAUGGCAUCAUGAUCCUAGAGGAAGAUUCAGCGUCCGGUCUGCCUAUCACAUGAUUCUUAAGACAAAGCAUAGCAGGGAGGCAUGGCUAAAUGAGGAGGGUGGGACUUCAUAUGAGUUCAGUGAAUCCAACAACUGGUCAACAAUUUGGCAUAUCCAAGUGCCCUCAAAGCUAAAGAUGUUUCUAUGGCGCUUAGCCAGGCAUUCGAUGCCAACGGGGACCGUUUUGGAGCACCGGAACAUGGCAACAGAAAAUACAUGUCUACUCUGUGGAGCCGUGGACACAUGGAAGCAUGCACUGCUCUCAUGUCCCAUGUCUGCAAGUGUAUGGGCGCUUGCUCCUGAAGAACUGGUGCAUCAUAUGCUAGAACGCGGCAAGGAGCAUCUGAAGGAUUGGCUGUUUGCAAUCCAUGAAAUACUAUCUAAAGAGAUUUUUGAUCGCUUGGUGGUCUCACUUUGGGCGAUAUGGGGAGCCAGAAGGAAAGCCAUCCAUGAGAACAUUUAUCAAUCACCCCAUUCUGUGAGCAGUUUUAUAUCAAGUUACUUGGGGGAGCUGAAGAUGAUAAAUGCCAAGAACUAGGUCGUGACGGUGCAUAGAUCCAAGAACGCAAAAAGGUGGAUACCCCCGACUGCGGACAAUGCUAUGAUGAACGUUGACGCGGCUGUGUCUAGGCAGGGUUUCGGGUCUAUUGGGGUGAUAUGCAGAGACCAAUCAGGUCGUUUCAUCGGUGCAUCCACCUGCGGUUUCAGAAACAUUGUAGAUCCACCAACCCUUGAAGCCCUGGCGAUCAGGGAAGCACUGGCACUGGCACAUGAUCUAUAUCUACGACAGAUUGAAGUGGCGUCGGAUUGCAAAGUGGUAGUGGAGGAUCUACAGAAGGAUAAUCUGGCGAGCUACGGUGCAAUUGUACGUGAAAUAAUAGCCCAUUCUAAUUCUUUUGAAUUUUGUAGCUUUAGACAUGAAUUUAGGAGCUCCAAUUAUGAAGCUCACAACUUAGCGAGGCAUGCUUUAUCUCUUGGUGGUGGCCGCCGUGUUUGGUUAGGCCAUCCCGGGAACCUACCAUCUGUCCCUGUAAACAUUGUGACGAAUUAAUAAAGCUUCGCGACAUUGUCUCAAAGAAAAGUGGGUGCCAGGGUGUGAUAUUUCCGGUUUAGAAUAGUUCAGGGGAUUAAGAACUCGGUUUUAAACAUUGGGGGGUUAUGUGAUCCAAACGGGAUACUUCUGGGGGUUAUCUAUACUUUUUUCUACAAAAUUAGAUUGGGAGGAUACAAUGUAAUCAUUGUUACAAUGUAAUCGUUGGGUGGAAGAAGCAAAUCGUACAUGGAUGAUACAAAAUAAAGAUAGAUGGGAACCUAGAAGAGCACCAUGCUGAUGGAUGUUCUGUCGCCGGAG
rnacentral:lncRNA from 1 species